AAUGAGCGCUGGCGGCGCGCCUAAUACAUGCAAGUCGAGCGAGAAGACGUAGCAAUACGUUUGUAAAGCGGCGAACAGGUGAGGAAUACAUGGGUAACCUACCCUAGAGUGGGGAAUAACUAGCCGAAAGGUUAGCUAAUACCGCGUACGCUCCUUGGACUUCGGUUCAGGGAGGAAAGCGAUACCGAGGGUAUCGCGCUCUUGGAUGGGCUCAUGUCCUAUCAGCUGUUGGUGAGGUAACGGCUCACCAAGGCUUCGACGGGUAGCUGGUCUGAGAGGACGAUCAGCCACACUGGGCACUGCGACACGGGGCCAGACUCCUACGGGAGCAGCAGUAAGGAAUAUUGCGCAAUGGGCGAAAGCCUGACGCAGCGACGCCGCGUGGGGGAUGAAGGUCUUCGGAUUGUAAACCCCUUUCGGGAGGGAAGAUGGAACGAGCAAUCGUUCGGACGGUA
rnacentral:rRNA from 1 species